GCCAGUGGCUUGUAAAUCAGAGAUCGCAGGUUCGGAUACUCGGGGCAUAUUGUUCGUUUUUCGUUACUUCCCGACUAAGUAGACUCGAGCUGGCUCGGGCGGCUGGCAGUGCUCAGUUACGAGAAGGGAAUUAUCCAUUCAUUUCGAGAGGUUGUCAAUAACAAGAAGCAAAAUACACAGUUGCGGCCAGAGAUAGGAGGCGGGUGCGGGAGGGGAAAGAAUCGCCCGGGGCCAGCUGAUCAUUACCGAGUGCAAGUGUCUAUAUGGCUGUGCUGCGAGGAGGGGGGAAGUGAACCAUCAAAGACAAUUGAUGCCUCAGUGGUUAUUGAACUUUUCCUACACAAUAUUAAUGGAUCUGAGUUCAACAGUGCACUGUGAUUCACCUGAACCAAUGUUUUAUGAUGUUAUGUCCUGAUGUUUAGCUUCCUUUUGGGAAAUCUAGAUUUUAAAAAAAGAAGGAAACACAUAACGCCUUAUCAUACCACAUUAUAACAAGAGGAUAACAAGUACCCAGGAGUUUUACACUUACUUCCAAUAAUGGAUAAGACAGAGUCAAAUGUUGUAGAAUAAACAUUGAUCAAGAUGUAAGAAAAUCUCAGACUUAAAUGGAAACAAAU